GAAAUGCGAUAAGUAGUAUAAAUUACAGAAUUCAGUAAAUUAUCAAAUCUUUAAACGCACAUUGCGCCCCUUAGUAUUCCGUAGGACAUGCCUGUUCGAGCGUCAUCUACACCCUCAAGCUCUGCUUAGUGUUGGGCGUCUGUCCCGCCUUCGCGCGUGGACUCGCCCUAAAUGCAUUGGCAGCGGUCCUUGCCCCCUCCCACGCAGCACAUUGCGCUUCUCGAGGCUGUGGCGGCCCGCGUCUAACAAGCUAAACCCCCCCGUCUUUGACCUCGGAUCAGGUAGGGAUACCCGCUGAACUUAAGC
rnacentral:misc_RNA from 1 species